AGCGAGGCGACGAGGGGCUCCCCACCACGAUCACACCAUCACUCUCCCCUCCACCUCUACACCACCGGUGUCCCUUCUACACUACCGGUGUUAAUGAUGGCAGCUUUCCGUCACACUCCCUUGACCUUCGUCAGAAUGUUCUGCUUAACGUUGGUCGUGACCAUGACCAUGGCUCAGGAGGAGAGAUGUGGAUACUCUAAUAAACACUUGUAUAGAUUCUAAACAUCACUAAAGUGCACCAGGACCAGAAGGCAGUCUGUUUACUACGGAAAAUCGCUCGUGGCAGCGGGAAAGAUACUGGGGAGUCCCUCUGUGUGCCAUUGAUUGUGAGCUUUGGUUUACUGCGUGUGCCAACGAUGUCACUUGCACAUACAAUUGGACCAACAAUUUCAGGUGGUUGAAUAUGACGGGUGAUUGCCCAACAAAAGGAAGCUGCUUGACAAAUUACUGCCCCGUAAAUUCUACCUGUCAAACAUUUAAAGAAAUCUAUCUAUAGGACAGCCCGGAACUUCUGUGAAAAGGUGUGGGACAAUGCUUGGAAAUAUGCUGAACCGACAACACCAUAUACGCACCUACAGUUCAACCAAUCUGCCAUCAAUCCAAAUGAUGCUGUUGCUCUACAUUAUGCACAGAUUAUAGCUGGUUCCCAGAUGCACAGCUGCAACCUAAUGUGGUUUAGUAUACAACUUGCUGUUUGGGCAUUUAUCAAUAUUGAAUAUUGACAGUUGCAUCCUAGACUUUUCUUGUUGCCAUAGUUCAUUAAUUAACUCUUUACUUUUGACUAUAAACUUGCCCUUGCUGAGGGGGAAACGAUUCUAUUAAAAUGUUUACAAAGAAAAAAAAAUUCUGUGUAAUAUCCUGAUCACAUGAGUAAUAGUGUGCUGUAUUCUGGUUCUGCCCUUGUGCCUUGUCUACCUCUAUUAAAUUAUCUGAAAUGUGCCAGAAAUAAAAUGCUUCUUUAUUUCUAUCAGACAUCGCCCAAUGAAAUUUUGGUAGAUUCUCAACCACAUUGGAGUUGUCAAACUUGCAGCCAAGGCCGUUUUACUUGUUCUGUUUCACACGUCCCCUCUCCCCCUUAAAAAAAAAAGUUAGUUUGGAAAUCUGCCCAGUCAUGUUCUGUGAAUGUUGGCAAGGUCGUGGGCUUUGUUAAAACUAACAAACUGCACACCAUCUCUUUUUUUCUUGUAUAGUCUUUAAUAUUCUUUAAUAUAGUCUUCUUUAUUCUUUAGUAUUUUAGUAUUCUUCUUUAUUCUUCUUCUAUUCUUUAGUAUAGUCUUUAAUAUUUAGAUUAUUCAAGAUAAUGGACAGAUGGUGCUAGUCUUCCCAGCUUGGUGCUACCUUUUGAUGACUGCCACAGAUUGGAGAGAUUCUUUCUCUGGACUAAAAAUCUCUCGCUUCCUCAUUACAUGUCCCAUGCAUUGUCCUGUCCCUGCCACCAUCUCUCCCUCCUUACCAAACUAGGACGAC